GACGAACGCUGGCGGCGUGCCUAAUACAUGCAAGUAGAACGCUGAAGAGAGGAGCUUGCUCUUCUUGGAUGAGUUGCGAACGGGUGAGUAACGCGUAGGUAACCUGCCUGGUAGCGGGGGAUAACUAUUGGAAACGAUAGCUAAUACCGCAUAAAAUUGAUUAUUGCAUGAUAAUUAAUUGAAAGAUGCAAUUGCAUCACUACCAGAUGGACCUGCGUUGUAUUAGCUAGUUGGUGAGGUAACGGCUCACCAAGGCGACGAUACAUAGCCGACCUGAGAGGGUGAUCGGCCACACUGGGACUGAGACACGGCCCAGACUCCUACGGGAGGCAGCAGUAGGGAAUCUUCGGCAAUGGGGGGAACCCUGACCGAGCAACGCCGCGUGAGUGAAGAAGGUUUUCGGAUCGUAAAGCUCUGUUGUAAGAGAAGAACGGGUGUGAGAGUGGAAAGUUCACACUGUGACGGUAUCUUACCAGAAAGGGACGGCUAACUACGUGCCAGCAGCCGCGGUAAUACGUAGGUCCCGAGCGUUGUCCGGAAUUUUUGGGCGUAAAGCGAGCGCAGGCGGUUAGAUAAGUCUGAAGUUAAGGCUGUGGCUUAACCAUAGUAUGCUUUGGAAACUGUUUAGCUUGAGUGCAGAAGGGGAGAGUGGAAUUCCAUGUGUAGCGGUGAAAUGCGUAGAUAUAUGGAGGAACACCGGUGGCGAAAGCGGCUCUCUGGUCUGUAACUGACGCUGAGGCUCGAAAGCGUGGGGAGCGAACAGGAUUAGAUACCCUGGUAGUCCACGCCGUAAACGAUGAGUGCUAGGUGUUAGGCCCUUUCCGGGGCUUAGUGCCGCAGCUAACGCAUUAAGCACUCCGCCUGGGGAGUACGACCGCAAGGUUGAAACUCAAAGGAAUUGACGGGGGCCCGCACAAGCGGUGGAGCAUGUGGUUUAAUUCGAAGCAACGCGAAGAACCUUACCAGGUCUUGACAUCCCUCUGAUCGCUCUAGAGAUAGAGUUUUCCUUCGGGACAGAGGUGACAGGUGGUGCAUGGUUGUCGUCAGCUCGUGUCGUGAGAUGUUGGGUUAAGUCCCGCAACGAGCGCAACCCCUAUUGUUAGUUGCCAUCAUUCAGUUGGGCACUCUAGCGAGACUGCCGGUAAUAAACCGGAGGAAGGUGGGGAUGACGUCAAAUCAUCAUGCCCCUUAUGACCUGGGCUACACACGUGCUACAAUGGCUGGUACAACGAGUCGCAAGCCGGUGACGGCAAGCUAAUCUCUGAAAGCCAGUCUCAGUUCGGAUUGUAGGCUGCAACUCGCCUACAUGAAGUCGGAAUCGCUAGUAAUCGCGGAUCAGCACGCCGCGGUGAAUACGUUCCCGGGCCU
rnacentral:rRNA from 1 species